AGAGUUUGAUCCUGGCUCAGGACGAACGCUGGCGGCGUGCUUAACACAUGCAAGUCGAGCGAUGAAGCUCCUUCGGGAGUGGAUUAGCGGCGGACGGGUGAGUAACACGUGGGUAACCUGCCUCAUAGAGGGGAAUAGCCUUUCGAAAGGAAGAUUAAUACCGCAUAAGAUUGUAGUACCGCAUGGUACAGCAAUUAAAGGAGUAAUCCGCUAUGAGAUGGACCCGCGUCGCAUUAGCUAGUUGGUGAGGUAACGGCUCACCAAGGCGACGAUGCGUAGCCGACCUGAGAGGGUGAUCGGCCACAUUGGGACUGAGACACGGCCCAGACUCCUACGGGAGGCAGCAGUGGGGAAUAUUGCACAAUGGGGGAAACCCUGAUGCAGCAACGCCGCGUGAGUGAUGACGGCCUUCGGGUUGUAAAACUCUGUCUUUGGGGACGAUAAUGACGGUACCCAAGGAGGAAGCCACGGCUAACUACGUGCCAGCAGCCGCGGUAAUACGUAGGUGGCAAGCGUUGUCCGGAUUUACUGGGCGUAAAGGGAGC
rnacentral:rRNA from 1 species